AUGUAUGAAAAAACAGUAAAGUUUAGAAUGAUUACGAUAUCCUCAAAACCGUCACUUUUAUUUGUCUUCUUUGCUAGGAUGUUAUUUGUGAGUCAUUCUGUCGUCUUGAGAAAUCUCAAUCACCUUCACGUACUCUUCAGUGUUUCACUGUGGCCUGCUCUUGUAAACAUGCUAUGUGAAUGUUUUCCACAGCGUGAUGUGCCAGUUUGUGAGGCGGGAGAUUGUGUUAAGGGCUGUGCACACUGCGGGGCCUUCAUGAGCCCUGCUAUGAGCUGGCAGGACUGCGGGCAAAGAUUCUACUGCCCUUUCUGCCACAAACUCAAUGAAGUGCCAUGGCAGUCCUAUCAGCCCACUAAUCAGGGCCGCCGUGUCGACUGCGAAAAAAAACCUGAGCUCAGUCUUGGCUCAUAUGAGAUCCUGGAAAAACAGACGGGUAAAGCUGCUGUGUUGCUGCUGGCGAUAGAUGUGUCUGCCAGUGCGAUGAGAGCGGGGCAGCUAGACCACAUCUGUAAGCAGAUUAGUUCUCAACUGCAAGCUUUAAAUGGGUAAGGGACGUUAACGUUUACAAUUAUUUUCACAAUCAUGUCCAUUCCUAAUGUUUGAAAUCUUGGCUUGUGAAUGGCUUCUUUCUUUGUUUUAGGCCUGGAGAAACUGACCGAUCAGAUCUUCGAGUGGGUUUGAUGACCUAUGACAGCCGGAUCCAUCUGUAUAACCUGAGUCCAGCUCUGUCCCGCCCUCACAUGAUGGUCAUCACUGACUGUGAGGAGCUGGAACUUCCUGUGGUGGAGGGCCUUCUGGUGCCACUGAAAGACUGCAGACACAUUCUUGAGAGGUUUUGAAACUGCGUUUGUUCUGCUAAUAUAAUUAUUUAAAACGAGCAAAAUAGUCAACAAUAUUGUUAACUAUUCCUUUCUUCUUGGGCAGAGUUCUACAGGAAAUUUCACUUUUCAACCCUGAGCCGGAUAGAUCUGGCUCACAAGAGCUUUCUGUUUCUGCAGGGCUGAAGAUUCUUCAGGCAAGAGCGUUAAUAUGAGUCUUAAACAUGCGCAUGUACUUGCUGAAAAAUUCAGUGUGUGUGCUGCAAAUGUUGAUUUAUAAAUCUCCUGCGUCUCAUUUCAAAAGGAUGCAGCAUCUCCAGGAAAAUUAUUGAUAUUCCAUUCCUCACCUGUUUCUGAAGGCUCAAAUCAGAAAAGCGCCUCAGGUUUCUUCGGCUCUAGCAAAGUGAAGGUGAAUUAAAGAACAUGCAGUUUUUCCACAAUAUUGUCCAUCAUUUUAAUUAUCUAAAAGUGUUUUAUUUAUCUGCUUCCUCUUGGUUUCAUAUUAGUCCAUCUUCCAAGGACCAGAUUCUUCUAUCUCAUUGGCUAAAGAAUGUGUCAGUCAAGGCUGCAGCGUGCACAUCUUUGUGUUCUGCCAUCAAGAAGUAGGCGGGGCUUGGCCAGGGCACAUCCCCUUUCUCACAGGGGGUGGGGUCAUCUGCUAUAACAGUCUACAGGUAAUAAAUGUCAUCUGCACUCAGUCGACA
ensembl:lncRNA